rnacentral:rRNA from 1 species
AUUGAACGCUGGCGGCAUGCUUUACACAUGCAAGUCGAACGGUAACAGGUCUUCGGAUGCUGACGAGUGGCGAACGGGUGAGUAAUGCAUCGGAACGUGCCCAGUCGUGGGGGAUAACGCAGCGAAAGCUGUGCUAAUACCGCAUGAGAACUGAGGUUGAAAGCGGGGGACCUUCGGGCCUCGCGCUACUGGAGCGGCCGAUAUCAGAUUAGGUAGUUGGUGGGGUAAAGGCCUACCAAGCCGACGAUCUGUAGCUGGUCUGAGAGGACGACCAGCCACACUGGGACUGAGACACGGCCCAGACUCCUACGGGAGGCAGCAGUGGGGAAUUUUGGACAAUGGGCGCAAGCCUGAUCCAGCAAUGCCGCGUGCAGGAAGAAGGCCUUCGGUUGUAACUGCUUUGUACGGAACGAAAAGGACUCUGGUUAAUACCUGGGCUGAUGACGGUACCGUAACGAAUAAGCACCGGCUAACUACGUGCCAGCAGCCG